CAUGAUUCAUUAAUUUCUGUACGAUCUACAAUUUGUCUUAAGAUUUUUUAUAUUUAAGUGGAAAUUUCAGAAAGAUUGUCAAAAUAAGAGUCGCAAUGUGUAAUUAAUUGUAAAUCUGAAUAUGAGACAACAAAUCACAGAAGUUUCAAUAUCUGUUAAAACUGAAUUUUGAGAGGUGCCUACAAAAGGUUUCCCUGAUUUCUUGCAGUUCCUAGCUUACAGAAUCUUGUCGUUAUAGUCUUACAGAGUGAAUCUUUGUUCUAGCCAUCAUAACGAACUCAUCCUACGUGUACUAAGAUUCUUCGGCAUCAGUUUGGUAAGCUGGCCGCUUUGGUAUGUGCAACUGCCUUACAAGUUUUUUAUCGUAUCCUGAAUCACGGCAUAACAUAUUUGCAUCAGUUUUAAACCAUUUAUAGCUAGCCCCCUUUUCCUAGUUCCUUGUUAUAGAACUAAAAAAUUCAAAAAUCUCUUUGCUGCACCAAGCAUUUCUGCUGGUUUAAAGGUUCAAGCACUCACCCUUCUCACAGACGAUAAAAUGUUAGAUCUGGAUGGAUUUGUUAGGCAAAAGUUGCAAUGGUGGGUAAAGUUUAGAUAUAGUAGUUAAAAGAAUACAGUUAUCAUGGAUGCUGGUUUAGUGUUUGGUCUCGAAGAAAAUUACAUUAGACUUUCGCGGAGAAGAUUUAGGAUAUUGAUAAGCAUGGAAAACAAAAGCAGUAACUUCUGUUAUUGCUUUGGAACCAUGUUUAUAUUAGUGUUGGGUAUUUGUUUUAUACUCUUAUGAAGGAUAGAAGAUUAUUCUAGUUCCUAGGCUUGAUUAUGAAACUUUAUUUACCAUGUAAGAUAAUUAAAUAUUGAGUCCUUUUUUUGUCAUUAGAGAGAGCUUUUUGAACUUUAAAAAAUAUAUAUGUAUAUACAUAAUAAAUACUCCUCCCGUCCCCAAAAUAAUUUCCUUGAAGGGAGGGCACGAGUUUUAAGAUGAAAAUGUGAAAAAUGAAAAGUAAGGGUAAAUGGGGUAAUAUUAAUGAUGUGGUAUAAUCUAAAAAUAGAAAGGGAAAUUAUUUUGGGGACGGAUCGAAAAGGAAAGUUAGAUAGUUAUUUGGGGGACAAAGGGAGUAAAAGAUAAAAAAUAAAGAGCUUCAUGACAGUGAGAAUAGGUUCAGUUGAGAAAGAGAUAUAUUACCUCUUUCAAUUCUGAAUUUAUUACUCAUGGGAUAAGGCUUAGUUCCUAAUAUACUUUUUUUUUUCUUUUUUCCUUUUCAAAAUUAGUGUUACAACUUACAUAGAAGUAAGAGCUUAAUUCCAAUUUCUGUAUUUCUUUACUCUAUCUAUGUUUUAGCCACCUUUGGUAAGUUUUGCCUAAGAAAUCCAGCCUGGUCUAUCUACAUCGUAUGUGAAGGAGGAAUCAGUUCCUUUGAAUCUUUGGAACCAACAAGUGCUGCUUCUGACAGAAUGCUACAUCAUCUACGUAGCUUUCAGUUUAUGCUGUAAUACCUGAAAUGUGACGAAGCCAGAGCAUGUGUUAUAUAUCACUUCUUAUUCACAAGUUGUAAUAUGUUCUCUUAGUUGCCUUUGUUCUUUAUACCAGAUUAAUAAUCCAUCUAUAUUGAGGAUUUUAAGUUGAGUGACAAGUGUAAGAUGUGAAGCUCCUGUUUCUCGUCCUCUUAUUCAGAGCGAGCCUAAAGAAAAUAUCAAAAGCGUGUUGGAAUUAUGUGUAAUCAGUUACGAUAAGAUGAGAUGUCACAGGUGCCAAGGAUGGUAAGACUAUUAAUUCACAGCAGGAUUCUUUUGAUUUGAGAGCUUUUGAAGAAGAAACUGAAGUGUCGGAACAUCAAACCGAACCUUUUCCCUCUGCUACUCAAACAAAACCAGACUCAGAAGUUUUUAAAGAUUCCGUAUUUUCAUGGAAUGGGGACUCUUGACUGUAAUGAAACUCCAAGAAUCUUUAGAGGGAUAGUUUAUGGAAUAUGGAAUUUUCUGUAGCAGUUCUUUUUCAUAUCAAUCAUUUACAUGAGAUUUUUCUCUAAUGAUGUGCUUCUUGGAUCCCUAAACAUGAUCCAAACAAGAUUAUGUUGAGAGGUUUUAGUUGUAGAAUGACUGAAACUCAACAAAUUAGUGUUUGUCCUUGACACUUGUACAUGAAAAAUGACUGCAAAAAGAGACUAUGAAGGGCUGCAAAGGCAAAAAUAAUUACAUUGAUGAUUUGAUCCCUUCAUUAGGAAAAGCAAAAAUAUUGUCUAUGAAGGGCUUCUCUUCUUGUCUAUACUAGAACAAAUAAUUUCACUAAGAAUUCCUGUUACUUUCCAUCACCUGCUGCUACUCCUGACUUUUCAUUGUUUUAUCUACAAACAGUACAUCGUCGAUCCAAGCAACGAUGUUAAACGCCAAACCUUCCAGCACUCUUGAAUAGCUCUCGAGCACCGCCUGUCCUACAUCCUGCAAAACGCGACACGUUCAAUCAUCUCUAUAUUAUUAUUAUUAUGAUUAUGAUUAUCCAUAGUGAAAAUUUCAUCUUGUGAUUUGGACAGAGAAACUUGCCUUGUUGUAUUGGAUUUUACUCGUAUCCAGUGUAGUUUGUGAAAGCUCGGGAUAUCUCUGCUUCAAGCAGAACAAGAGCGUGUCGGAUCUUGCUGCCAAGACAUGAUUCUUGUCGUUCCUGUCUAUGUCGGACACAAGAUCUUUAACCACGUCCCAUGAUGAUUUCGAGUGAGCAACGCACAUUUUCCUUCGCCACGUGUGCAUGGAAGCCUCCACUUUGUCUGCCAGCUCGAGGGCUUCGUGCUCGGAGCUUAUGUUGAGAGAAUCAAGCAGAUGAUCAGGUGAGAACUUCUCUGCAUUGUACAUGUAGCGGUAGAUUGUAUCCCCCACAAUUGCUUUUCCACUCUGAGUAUAAUUGCAGAAACUGUUUAGCAUCUUUUCUUUGCAGAUUUUUUACAGAAUCAAGAAUUUUUCAAAUCAGUACCUUUGGCAGGGAAGACAUGUAUGAUUCUGGAAUCUGCAUUUCAGAAAGAAUCCCACUGUUUAUCGCCAUUGCUGCCUUGUGAAUCUGGCUGGCACGGUCGUGCUUCUGCCUCAGAUGUUUCUUGCUUUUCUCGGAGAGGCCACCGAGGGGGACACAGGGAACGGGCAGCCACCAUUUCUCCUCGUUCCGUUGUGGCUGUGGCUGAACGAUCUUCCUGAACGAUCCAGAACGGGUCGAGUUCCCCGACAUGCUCCCCUGCUCAGCAUACCAAAACUCAGUCUCCUGAAAGCUGUCAAGCACAUCCUGUUCCACAAAUCAUCAUCAUCAUCGGAGCUUCAAUCUUUUUUAAAAAAAUAUAUUAUUAUUAUUAUUAUUUUAUUGAUUUUACCAGGAGCAACGCGUCGAGUUUCUUCAAGGCUGGGAGAUUGAUGUGAAUGUCUGAUCUUGGCCUGCUUGCCAUCACCUGCAAAGUGAAAAUUUCAACUUAGUGCAUGAAAAUGUAGCAGGAAAGAAAAUUCAACAAUUUUUUGCCCAUUUUGUAAGAUUUUUUUUUUCUUUUUUUUAAUACCUCUAAAGUAGUCCCAUCUUUUAAUGUCUGCAAUGAGGGGCUGAAUUCUAGUAUGUAAUCACAUACAGAUAAUAGACAAUUCAUUUCUCUCUUCCA